rnacentral:rRNA from 1 species
UACAGAGGGUGCAACCGUUGCUCGGAAUUAUUGGGCGUAAAGCGCACGUAGGCGGCUUUGCAAGUCGGAUGUGAAAUCCCUCGGCUUAACCAAGGAAGUGCAUCCGAAACUGCAGAGCUUGAGUACUUAAGAGGAUCGCGGAAUUCCCGGUGUAGAGGUGAAAUUCGUAGAUAUCGGGAGGAACACCAGUGGCGAAGGCGGCGAUCUGGGAAGAUACUGACGCUGAGGUGCGAAAGCGUGGGGAGCAAACAGG